UCCCCUGUAGCUCAGCUGGUAAAGAAUCUGCUUGCAAUACAGGAAACCUGGGUUCAAUCCCUGGCUUGGGAA
rnacentral:tRNA from 1 species